UUCAGUCAUUUUGUAUUAUGCAUGGGAAAUUGAUACCUUUUUAACUUUUUUUUUCAGAAAGCGGUAUCAAUUUCCCGUGCAUAAUACAAAAUGACUGAU